rnacentral:rRNA from 1 species
UACGUAGGUGGCAAGCGUUGUCCGGAAUCAUUGGGCGUAAAGCGCGUGUAGGCGGCCAGAAAAGUCCGCUGUGAAAACUCGAGGCUCAACUUCGAGCUGUCGGUGGAAACUUUCUGGCUAGAGUCCGGAAGAGGAGAAUGGAAUUCCUGGUGUAGCGGUGAAAUGCGCAGAUAUCAGGAAGAACACCCGUGGCGAAGGCGGCUAUCUGGACAGAGUCUGACGCUGAGGCGCGAAAGCUAGGGGAGCAAACAGG